UUCAACAGUCCGACGCUCGAUGACUGGUAGGAUGAAGACCAGUGUUAGAGGGGUCCUGCCUCUAGCCAGGUAGAGGUACGGGACAACCGUGUCUAUUGGACUGUGUGGAUCAGAUGACCUGGCACGUCAGACCCACAGAAAUACCAGGCUUUGGUUGAUACUGGCGCUCAGUGUACGUUAAUGCCCUCGGGACAUGUGGGACCAGAGACUAUUUCCAUUUCUGGGGUGACUGGAGGGUCUCAAGAGUU